AGAGAGAGACAUGCGCGCAUAUCAAUAAGCGGAGGAAAAGAAACUAACAAGGAUUCCCUUAGUAACGGCGAGUGAAGCGGGAAGAGCUCAAAUUUGAAAUCUUCAAGGUUUUACCUUGACGAAUUGUAGUUUAAAGAAGUGUUUUCUGCUGAAGUUUUGGUAAAAGUUCUUUGGAAUAGGACAUCAUAGAGGGUGAGAAUCCCGUAUUUGACCAUUAUUUUCAGCUUUGUGAUACACUUUCAAAGAGUCGGAUUGUUUGGGAAUGCAGUCCAAAAUGGGUGGUAAAUUUCAUCUAAAGCUAAAUAUUGGCGAGAGACCGAUAGCGAACAAGUACCGUGAGGGAAAGAUGAAAAGAACUUUCGAAAAGAGAGUUAAACAGUACGUGAAAUUGUCAAAAGGGAAGCGUUUGACACCAGUGUUGUUUUCUCGAAAAUCAAUUAAAAAUGGCUCGAUUUUGUAUUGCUUGAGACCUUAAAAGCUCACUGUACAUUUUUCGUGUCUUUUUUAAUGCACUUUUCGUUUAACAAGUCAACAUCAGUUUCUUUUGUUGUAAAAGGGUCAUUGGAAGGUGGCUUUCUUUUCGGAGAAAGUGUUUAUAGCCUUUGGCCUCUGCAAUCGGAAGAGACUGAGGUCUGCAGCGUAGACUCUUCGGGGUUAGAUACAUUUGUGCUAAGUUAUAGCUUUUUAUAGACAACUUGUUGACUAUAAUUAGUCUUGUAGCUUACUCGCUUAUGCUAUUUUACCUACGCUUAGGAUGUUGAAGAUGUAGCACAUCAU
rnacentral:rRNA from 1 species